CCAGGAUAAUUUAGAGCACUCACCAAUAUUAGGCAUAGGAAAAAAAAAACACUCAAACACCUAACAUAACUUCAAAACCCCACAAUGUCAUCGCAAUCAUAUCGUAAAUGUUCUCUCUCUACAUAGUUAAGAAAGAAAAUAUAGCAUUAGGAUUUGACCUGAUUUUACAGCUUCAUUGGAAAUAAUCUCAUCACUUAUGAAGCAGCAAAACUAAUCACACUCAAUAGUAUCAUGAUUCUGGGAGAAGUUCAAUCUGAUCCUUCUGCUUUUGCUGUUGUUCCCUUUUCUUCAACUCAUUCUCAUAUUUGGCUAGCCUCUCCUUCAUCUUUUCCUGCAUAAAAACUCUGCCUCAGAACAACAAAGGAAAUAUGCAAAGCGAGAAAGGAACUCAAAAGAGAGGACAUGGAUUUGCCUUGUAACUCUUCUCAACCCGGUGCAUGACAUAGAAGCCGAGGACUCCGCCAAGGAUAGUCCCGGUUAUGAUUCGAAUGUACGCCCACUUGUACGACACCAUCUCUUUCGGUCCUUCCUUUUCCUUCGAUACUAGCUACUAUCUGUGCGCAUGCAACGCAUAUUUUGGAAAAAGAAAACAGAAAUUAUUUUGGGUAAAAAUUUCUAACUUACAAAGCAAAUAUAAUUUGGAGAGAGGUUGGUGUUGGGUAAAAAAAUAUGUUUUGCAACUUAUAAUGCAAUGCCCAAGGAGGUUGGCGUUAGCUUUCACUUAUUACCUAAAUGAUUCAAGGCUUUCUUUUUAGUAUCUUGAGGUAAGAGACAAUGAUGGAUUAACUUGUAUUCAAAACACUGCAACAUUUAGAGUCCAACGAUUUCAUUAAAAAGUAAUCAAGUAUCCAGGCACCACUAUCCUCAGAUCAAAUAAGCAAAAAAACAUAAAACAAAUGACAAAUGAAACGGCACUACAAUUACUUGAUAUGCUUUUCAGUAAAUUUACCAAAUACUUUCCUUCCUUGCCACUCUCACACUAUCAUUUCUUUAAUUCGUCUUUAUGCUAUUUGCAAUUCAAAAAGUCAUAUUAUCCAAAUUGCUAAAUCCUUUCCCGAAAUUCUGAGUAAAAUUUAAUGAGAAAAGUAAAGAACAUAAAAUACAAACAAAAGUAAAGGAAGCCCCCAUCUUGUUCAGCUCAAAAACAUAGUUUUAAAAGGCGCAAAGGACUCCUGACCCUAAAUGCCGGGCAAAAUCAAGCAAGUUAGACACACAUUUUCACAGUUUUUGAAGAUAAAUAGAACACUCCUUAGAAGUUCUAGUAGUAAUCAUUGAAUGAAACUAACGCACUUUAAAAUCAGGUUAUAGCUCUAUUAAAUAUUUAAGAUCACUCAAUAAGAUUUGUGAACAAAUGUGUGGCUCAAAUCAAUGCAUAUAUCAAAGAGAGAAAAAAGACAGUUAGAGGGCACAAAAUUUGAAACUGCUUCGGAACUUCCCUUCUCCUAUGCUUUAAAAUGGCGGCAGGAACCACCAUCACCAAAUGCUUCUUUGGCGACUGUUCCCACCGCAUCGGAGGAGAGAAGCUACAAAGCGCUUCUACAACUAUUUUGGUGCAAUGAACUAGGCCUUACAUUCCCAAACUAGGCUCUAGCUUAGAAAAUUAGAAUUAUCAAGAAAAACAAUGAAAAACAUUUGUUUGGUAUCGUUGCCGUUUUUUUCUAUUUUUUAAAAAAAUAGAAUUUUUACAUGAAAUAGUACAGAAAGGGAUAGUGGAUUGCUUGCAAUUCUUACAUUCACGAUAUUUGCUCAGCAAAGAAAAAAAAAGAAAAAAAAAAAGCAACUUCUUUUUUUUCCAUGAUUUUUGUCAUCCAUUACUCGGCCGAAGUGUAUUAUUACAAGCUAACCAAUCAUGACGAAUUUUUUAUAUAGAAUUAGUGUUUCAACAAAAUAAGAUCGAAAAAAAGAGGGGGCAAUGAUGCCAAAUGAGGCCUAAAACCUAUUAAUUAUAAUUAGAGCUCAAAACAGCAGGAAUUAGACUAAAAUUUGUUCAUCUCCAACUAUGUUUAAACAAAAUUACGCAAUUAUAUUGCGCAAAAGCUAAAUAGAAUCCAAUUUACAUGAUGAGCCAAACAUUACAUUACACAAGAAAAACACAAACCCAAAACCCUAAAAACAGCAGGAGCAACUACAGAUAAGCAAAAUUGUGUACUCACAUCAUCAACACAAAAGCUAAAUAGAGUUCAAACCCAAAGAUUACAUGAGAGAAACUCAAAAUCCUAAACCCUAAUUUAUGAAUCAACCAUUAAUAAAAGGCAUGAAACUCCCUAUCUUUUUCCCUUCCAUAUUCUAUUAGAAAGGUUUAGGAGAUGAUGGAGUUGGGCAGGGUAGUCUGACCUUGCGAUGGCGACGGUGGGCGUCGGAUGGGAAGGAAGACAGCACGAUUUGCAGUCGGAUGAUCGAGCCGCCUGCCUUCCUUGUUCAGCUCGACGCAGAAGGCAGUCUCACGUUUGGCUCAAGAAAAAGAGCGAUGCCUUCCUUGUUUCACUCCAAAACUGGAAAGAC
rnacentral:lncRNA from 1 species